CACGUAGGGUGCGAGCGUUGUCCGGAAUUAUUGGGCGUAAAGAGCGUGUAGGCGGCCCGGUAAGUCCGCUGUGAAAGUCGGGGGCUCAACCCUCGAAAGCCGGUGGAUACUGUCGGGCUAGAGUGCGGGAGAGGCGAGUGGAAUUCCUGGUGUAGCGGUGAAAUGCGCAGAUAUCAGGAGGAACACCGAUUGCGAAGGCAGCUCGCUGGAACGUAACUGACGCUGAGACGCGAAAGCGUUGGGAGCAAACAGG
rnacentral:rRNA from 1 species